rnacentral:rRNA from 1 species
AUGCAGUCGAACGGCAGCACGGUCUAGCUUGCUAGAUGGGUGGCGAGUGGCGAACGGGUGAGUAACGCGUAGGAAUAUGCCUUAGAGAGGGGGAUAACAUGGGGAAACUCAUGCUAAUACCGCAUACGUUCUUAGGAAUAAAGCUGGGGACCUUCGGGCCUGACGCUUUAAGAUUAGCCUGCGUCCGAUUAGCUAGUUGGUAGGGUAAGGGCCUACCAAGGCGACGAUCGGUAGCUGGUCUGAGAGGAUGACCAGCCACACUGGGACUGAGACACGGCCCAGACUCCUACGGGAGGCAGCAGUGGGGAAUAUUGGACAAUGGGGGGGACCCUGAUCCAGCAAUGCCGCGUGUGUGAAGAAGGCCUGAGGGUUGUAAAGCACUUUCAGUGGGGAGGAGGAUGUUUUGGUUAAGAGCUAAGAUAUUGGACGUUACCCACAGAAGAAGCACCGGCUAACUCCGUGCCAGCAGCCGCGGUAAUACGGAGGGUGCGAGCGUUAAUCGGAAUUACUGGGCGUAAAGGGUGCGUAGGUUGUUUUGUAAGUUAUCUGUGAAAUCCCUGGGCUCAACCUAGGCAGGUCAGAUAAGACUGCAAGACUCGAGUAUGGGAGAGGGUAGUGGAAUUUCCGGUGUAGCGGUGAAAUGCGUAGAGAUCGGAAGGAACACCAGUGGCGAAGGCGGCUACCUGGCCUAAUACUGACA